rnacentral:rRNA from 1 species
GACGAACGCUGGCGGCGUGCCUAAUACAUGCAAGUCGAACGCUUCUUUCCUCCCGAGUGCUUGCACUCAAUUGGAAAGAGGAGUGGCGGACGGGUGAGUAACACGUGGGUAACCUACCCGUCAGAGGGGGAUAACACUUGGAAACAGGUGCUAAUACCGCAUAACAGUUUAUGCCGCAUGGCAUAAGAGUGAAAGGCGCUUUCGGGUGUCGCUGAUGGAUGGACCCGCGGUGCCUUAGCUAGUUGGUGAGGUAACGGCUCACCAAGGCCACGAUGCAUAGCCGACCUGAGAGGGUGAUCGGCCACACUGGGACUGAGACACGGCCCAGACUCCUACGGGAGGCAGCAGUAGGGAAUCUUCGGCAAUGGACGAAAGUCUGACCGAGCAACGCCGCGUGAGUGAAGAAGGUUUUCGGAUCGUAAAACUCUGUUGUUAGAGAAGAACAAGGACGUUAGUAACUGAACGUCCCCUGGCGGUAUCUAACCAGAAAGCCACGGCUAACUACGUG